rnacentral:lncRNA from 12 species
AUGAUUCAUUCAGACUUCUUUUUAAAGUCCAGUUGGAGCUUUUCUGAAAGAUCUUGCAUAUAUAUAAUUUCACCAGACCUGCCUAGCUUACAUUUUUGCAGUCUCAUAUUUCUCCCUGAGGGAAUCUUAAGAGGCUUCUCAUUGAUGACCAGUGCUAUAUUGAAAAUCAAAGAGGAGAGUAAUUGUUUUUCCACCCUGGCUGCAAAAAGAAAAAGAAAAGAAAAAACAGACUUCUUGGUCCAAGGGCUUUCCCUGAGAAAUAUCCUAAUGGCUAAGGGCCAAGGAAGGGUUCCACCAGCCUCUACAUUCAGAGAACAAUAGAGCAAGAGGCUGGAAUCUUCUCCAGAGCCUACAAGAAAAUGGGACUUCGAAGUCAUUCCCCAGGAGAUUCUUAAAUAGAAGUAAUAUGUCCUGUUGGUUGUUCCCCGACCAAACAAACCCUCCUACUUGAAGUUCCCAGAACAUUACAUGCAGUGUGAAAAGUCUGUGCCUUGUCAUUUACACUGACAGUCCUUCCUCCUUUUCCCUUUAGAUGAGGCCAGCCUAAAGACCCCUCCCUGGUAAGGCUUCCCUGGCAACAUCCUCAGAUCUUAAGCCCUACACAGAGUGGGUGAGUGGGUGGCUUUGCCCCCAGUGCUUGUACAGAGUCAUGGACCCAGCUCUGUGGGCAGUCAUCCCACUGCCCUGCAAUUACAGCUCAUCACCCCCAGUCAACCCUCCCCAUCUUUCUCUGAAUUUUGUGAGCCAGUGAUGAACCAAAGAUGGGAGGUAGGAGCAGUCCUCCCUGGGUGCAGGUAAUAAGGGGGUACAUUCUUUGUAGCAAACUUUAACAAGCAAAAAAUUUUUUAAAUUAUUUUUAAUAAGUCAGCUGUUUUAAUUUCACCAUGUGCAGGCAAUUCUAAACAAUGUCAGAGACCAAAGGCUCCUCCUUUCUGGGGCAAAAGGUAUGCAGCAAGGGGUACGCCCCUUGGUAUAUCACUCCCGUGAACACUUUCCAGUCCGGGAAAAGAACACGCUGUCAGCGAUAGAAUGCGAUAUGGGGCAGAGUCUUUAAACAGUCAGCAGUUACUCGGUAAGGACUACAAUGUGCCAGGUACCAUUUUACACAUAUUAUAUCCAAUCUUUUCCCAAUGACCCCAGAAUACAUGCAUCCAUAGUGGGGUUUUGUCAGAUGAAGAAACUGAGGCGCAAAGCAGUUAAGUGAUUUGUCCAGGGUUCUACCACAAGGAAGUGGUAAAGAGAAAUUUGAACCAUAUCUGUGUGGCCCAACAUCUGUACUCUUUCCCCUGUGCCUAGAAGACCAUAUAUACCCCAUACCGAGGGCUAGAAGUACAAGCCACACAUCCUCUUCUUGGGGACUUCACAGCCUAAUGGAGAAAGGAACUCAUGCAACUCACCAUGACUCAGCCUAGCAUGUGACAAAUAGCUUGAGGAAUAAACCAGACCACCCCCACCCCCCCA